GUGAACGCUGGCGGCGUGCUUAAGACAUGCAAGUCGAACGGAAAGGCCCUGCUUUUGUGGGGUGCUCGAGUGGCGAACGGGUGAGUAACACGUGAGUAACCUGCCCUUGACUUUGGGAUAACUUCAGGAAACUGGGGCUAAUACCGGAUAGGAGCUCCUGCUGCAUGGUGGGGGUUGGAAAGUUUCGGCGGUUGGGGAUGGACUCGCGGCUUAUCAGCUUGUUGGUGGGGUAGUGGCUUACCAAGGCUUUGACGGGUAGCCGGCCUGAGAGGGUGACCGGCCACAUUGGGACUGAGAUACGGCCCAGACUCCUACGGGAGGCAGCAGUGGGGAAUAUUGCACAAUGGGCGGAAGCCUGAUGCAGCAACGCCGCGUGCGGGAUGACGGCCUUCGGGUUGUAAACCGCUUUCGCCUGUGACGAAGCGUGAGUGACGGUAAUGGGUAAAGAAGCACCGGCUAACUACGUG
rnacentral:rRNA from 1 species